rnacentral:rRNA from 1 species
CUCGCGUCAGGAUAUGCCUAGGUGGGAUNAGCUAGUUGGUGAGGUAAUGGCUCACCAAGGCGACGAUCCCUAGCUGGUCUGAGAGGAUGAUCAGCCACACUGGAACUGAGACACGGUCCAGACUCCUACGGGAGGCAGCAGUGGGGAAUAUUGCACAAUGGGCGCAAGCCUGAUGCAGCCAUGCCGCGUGUGUGAAGAAGGCCUUCGGGUUGUAAAGCACUUUCAGUCGUGAGGAAGGUAGUGUAGUUAAUAGCUGCAUUAUUUGACGUUAGCGACAGAAGAAGCACCGGCUAACUCCGUGCCAGCAGCCGCGGUAAUACGGAGGGUGCGAGCGUUAAUCGGAAUUACUGGGCGUAAAGCGCAUGCAGGUGGUUUGUUAAGUCAGAUGUGAAAGCCCGGGGCUCAACCUCGGAAUAGCAUUUGAAACUGGCAGACUAGAGUACUGUAGAGGGGGGUAGAAUUUCA